GGGAUUGUGGCUCAGCGGUAGAGCGCUCGCCUAGCACGUGUGAGGCCCUGAGUUCAAUCCUCAGCACCA
rnacentral:tRNA from 1 species